GACGAACGCUGGCGGCGUGCCUAAUACAUGCAAGUAGAACGCUGAAGAGAGGAGCUUGCUCUUCUUGGAUGAGUUGCGAACGGGUGAGUAACGCGUAGGUAACCUGCCUGGUAGCGGGGGAUAACUAUUGGAAACGAUAGCUAAUACCGCAUAAAAUGGAUUAUCGCAUGAUAAUCCAUUGAAAGGUGCAAAUGCAUCACUACCAGAUGGACCUGCGUUGUAUUAGCUAGUUGGUGGGGUAACGGCUCACCAAGGCGACGAUACAUAGCCGAACUGAGAGGGUGAUCGGCCACACUGGGACUGAGACACGGCCCAGACUCCUACGGGAGGCAGCAGUAGGGAAUCUUCGGGAAUGGACGGAAGUCUGACCGAGCAACGCCGCGUGAGUGAAGAAGGGUUUCGGAUCGUAAAGCUCUGUUGUAAGAGAAGAACGAGUGUGAGAGUGGAAAGUUCACACUGUGACGGUAUCUUACCAGAAAGGGACGGCUAACUACGUG
rnacentral:rRNA from 1 species